rnacentral:rRNA from 1 species
UACGUAGGGGGCGAGCGUUGUCCGGAAUUAUUGGGCGUAAAGAGUUCGUAGGCGGUUUUUUAAGUCAGAUGUGAAAGGCUACAGCUUAACUGUGGUAAGCAUUUGAAACUGGAAGACUUGAGUUAAGGAGAGGAAAGUGGAAUUCCUAGUGUAGCGGUGAAAUGCGUAGAUAUUAGGAGGAAUACCAGUGGCGAAGGCGACUUUCUGGACUUAUACUGACGCUGAGGAACGAAAGCGUGGGGAGCAAACAGG